rnacentral:rRNA from 1 species
CACACUGCGGUGAGUACGUUCCCGGGUCUUGUACACACCGCCCGUCAAACCAUGAAAGUCACCAACACCCGAAGUCCUAACUUGUUUAGGCCUAAGGGUGGGGGGGGGAUGAUUGGGGUU